rnacentral:misc_RNA from 1 species
UUAAUUUUCAUUCGAAAAUUUGGUUAUCAGACAUAAUUUUCAAAGCAAGUUUUUUGUGUUUGGUGCUGCCGGCAGGCUGAAGCCGCGGCCAUCUCUGACCGGGCGGCUGCCGAAGCGAAAGGUUUUUUGGUUCACAGAGGGUUGAAGCGUCCACGACCUCGCGGCCGGGCAGCUAAGUUUUGGUAAUGAUCCUUCCGCAGGUUCACCUACGGAAA